rnacentral:rRNA from 1 species
UACGUAGGGGGCAAGCGUUGUCCGGAAUCAUUGGGCGUAAAGAGCGUGUAGGCGGCCCGGUAAGUCCGCUGUGAAAGUCGGGGGCUCAACCCUCGAAUGCCGGUGGAUACUGUCGGGCUAGAGUGCGGGAGAGGCGAGUGGAAUUCCUGGUGUAGCGGUGAAAUGCGCAGAUAUCAGGAAGAACACCCGUGGCGAAAGCGGCUCUCUGGAACGGUACUGACGCUGAGACGCGAAAGCGUGGGGAGCGAACAGG